rnacentral:rRNA from 1 species
UAUGUGAUCGUCUCUCGCAUAUCAAUAAGCGGAGGAAAAGAAACUAACAAGGAUUCCCCUAGUAACGGCGAGUGAAGCGGGAAGAGCUCAAAUUUGAAAUCUUAAAGGGUUUCCCUUUACGAAUUGUAGUUUAAAGAAGUGUUUUCUGUUGAGGUUUUGGUAAAAGUUCUUUGGAAUAGGACAUCAUAGAGGGUGAGAAUCCCGUAUUUGACCUUUACUUUCAACUUUGUGAUACACUUUCAAAGAGUCGGAUUGUUUGGGAAUGCAGUCCAAAAUGGGUGGUAAAUUUCAUCUAAAGCUAAAUAUUGGCGAGAGACCGAUAGCGAACAAGUACCGUGAGGGAAAGAUGAAAAGAACUUUGAAAAGAGAGUUAAACAGUACGUGAAAUUGUCAAAAGGGAAGCGUUUGACACCAGUGUUGUUUUUCUGAAAAUCAAUUAAAGAACUGUUUAUGCUAAGUUGUUUAGACUUUAUCAGCUAAUCUGCUUAGUUUUGAGCUUUUCUUUAAUGCACUUUUCAGUUAACAAGUCAACAUCAAUUUCUUUUGCUGUAAAAAAGCUUGAGGAAGGUGGCUUGAGAUUCGUCUUAAGUGUUUAUAGCCUCUUGCCUAUGCAGUCGGAGAGAUUGAGGUCUGCAGCGUAGAUCCUUCGGGGCUAAAUGCAUUUGUGCUAAGUUAUAGCAUUUUAUAGACAACUUGUUGACUAUGAUUUGUCUUGUAGCUUACUCGCUUAUGUUAUUUUACCUACGCUUAGGAUGUUGAGUAGCGACAUACGCAC